CUAUCACAGCGAGUUGUGAAGAUUCAAUGAAAAACACCCUGUGAAGUCCUUUGUGCAGUAUCUGGUUACUCGUUUAGCACUGUGUUAAGUUGUUGCUCUUAUUACCGUAGUAGUUGCCCAUUGUUUCUGUCUGUGAGCAUUAUUGUGCACCUACUGCUGUACACUCCAGGUGCUGUUUUCUGUGCUGGGAGAUCAACUCUUACCUGUAGGAGAUUACAACCUGAUUAGAGAGAUAGUUGUGUAAGGAACUUCUCAUAAUAAAUUCUGAACUGUUCCUAUGAACGGGUAUAAUGGAAGGUCAGUUAUUG
rnacentral:lncRNA from 10 species